GGCAAUGAGGAAUGAAUCCAAUGCUGAGCAAAGGCAAUGAUUGACCCCAGAGUGGCCGAGC
rfam:Pyrococcus abyssi GE5 complete genome; segment 1/6